rnacentral:tRNA from 1 species
GCGGGAAUAGCUCAGUUGGUAGAGCCCCGGAUUGUGAUUCCGGUUGUCGCGGGUUCGAAACCCGUUUCUCGCC